AGGAGCCGUAUGAGGUGAAAAUCUCACGUACGGUUCUGGAACAGAGAUUCUUUCAAUUGAAUGACGAUUAUUUUAGUAAAAUUCAAUUCUUUCAAUUUCCGGAC
rfam:Nicotiana sylvestris Nsyl_contig16683, whole genome shotgun sequence.